UUGUCCGGAUUUACUGGGUGUAAAGGGCGCGUAGGCGGACUGUCAAGUCAGUCGUGAAAUACCGGGGCUUAACCCCGGGGCUGCGAUUGAAACUGACAGCCUUGAGUAUCGGAGAGGAAAGCGGAAUUCCUAGUGUAGCGGUGAAAUGCGUAGAUAUUAGGAGGAACACCAGUGGCGAAGGCGGCUUUCUGGACGACAACUGACGCUGAGGCGCGAAAGUGUGGGGAGCAAACAGGAUUAGAUACCCUGGUAGUCCACACCGUAAACGAUGGAUACUAGGUGUAGGAGGUAUCGACCCCUUCUGUGCCGCAGUUAACACAAUAAGUAUCCCACCUGGGGAGUACGACCGCAAGGUUGAAACUCAAAGGAAUUGACGGGGGCCCGCACAAGCAGUGGAGUAUGUGGUUUAAUUC
rnacentral:rRNA from 1 species